GUUACACAUACAUCUACUGCCAUCUAUUGGCACCUGUACGUUACUACAAACUACACUUGGCUGAGUUACACAUACAGUCGCAUUGACUAAAAUACC